rnacentral:misc_RNA from 1 species
UAUGAAGAACGUAGUGAAAUGCGAUAAUUAAUGUGAAUUGCAGAAUUCAGUGAAUCAUCGAGUCUUUGAACGCACAUUGCGCCCCCUGGUAUUCCGGGGGGCAUGCCUGUCCGAGCGUCAUUGCUGCCCUCAAGCACGGCUUGUGUGUUGGGCUUCCGUCCCUGGCAACGGGGACGGGCCCAAAAGGCAGUGGCGGCACCAUGUCUGGUCCUCGAGCGUAUGGGGCUUUGUCACCCGCUCCCGUAGGUCCAGCUGGCAGCUAGCCUCGCAACCAAUCUUUUUAACCAGGUUGACCUCGGAUCAGGUAGGGAUACCCGCUGAACUUAAGCAUAUCAAUAAGCGGAGGA